ensembl:lncRNA
AAAAGAUUGCAUCAAGAGCAACACUUCUUUUCCCCCUCCCUCUCUCUCUCUCUCUCUCUCUCUCUUACAGGAAGCCCUACUCUACCUUAGCCUUGGAAAGAGCCCCUUUUCAUAAAAUUAGCUGAAGGCACCUAUUCACAGCCAUGGGGCCGUGAAAAAAAAAAAAAAAAAAGCAACUAACCGACUGUAGAGGCUUUUUUCUCUCUCUCUCUCUCUCUCUUUUUUUUUUUUUUCUCUCUUCGCUCCAAAAAAUAAAAGAGAAAUGCGCGCAGCUCCGCUCGGCGAAAACGCGUUGUUUUUACCGUCUGCCCUCCGGCGGGGUAUAGAGCUCCUAAUCACAAAAUCCGGGCAGAAAGAAAGAAAGAAAAAGUUGAAAGGAAAAGAGAAGAGAAGCAAAGCAAAGCAAAGCGCAGGAGUUGAUGUCCAAAGUUCCCCCAGUGAGUCAGCCCGCAGCGCAGCGCUGUGUCCCGCGUGGUGCAUCCCUGUCCCCCCCCUCCCCUCCUCGCUUCUUCUCCCACGCCGAAAAUAAACCCGAUCAGGGGACGGCUGCUGGAGCUUCACCCCCAGCGGCGUGGCUUUGGGGGGGGCUAUCCUGUUUUCCUAUUAUAUAUGAAUAUAUAUACAUAUAUUUACCUUGCCAUUUUAUGAAUGAAAGCGCCCGGCUGAGCUGGGAGCACCAUCCCCAGCCUUGAAACUGCGAUGCUGGUGACAUCCACGAGGGGUGCGAGGUGCUGGGGACAUGAGGGGGGGAAAGCGGGGAUGCGAUGCGCCGGGGGCUCCGCGGGGGGCUCCUCCUUGCGGGGCACGGAACGAGGACUGCGCUCCCGUGAGAGUGUGAGAACGGGAAAAAAUUCAAACAGUAAAGAUACAGGGAUAUAUUGAAAAAGAUUUCAGAACGUUUGGCGGAGGGAAAAUCUUUUUUCUCUCUUUUUUUGCCGCGAGAAAAAAAGUAUAUUCUAAAAUGAAGUACCUAGAGAAAGUGGCGGUAGGAGGCGGGGGAGUCGUCAGCCUCACGCUUUCACGCCGUGUUCAAUCGGCUUUUUGAAACUGCAGAUCCUCUGAGGCAGAGAGGGGAGAGAGGAGCGAAAAAAUCCCGAUUUGUAACUGAAACACACUUCGACCCGGAGGGCUGGAGAAUAAACCUAUUGUGGAGGCGAAACGCGCGGCGAUACACCAGCAAGGAAAAAAAAAAAAAAAAAAAAAAAAGGAGGAAAAGGUCCCCCCCAAAAGCACCGCUGUUUGCGAAGAAAAAGUAAAUGAGGAGGGAAAAUAUCUCCAAGUUUUCGCUAUUUUUUUUUCCCCGUAACUUUCUGCUCUGAGAGCCGUUCGUGUGGCGAAAGUGGAGAAAAAGAAUUAAAAGAAAAAAAAGGCUUUUUUUUUUUUUUCCCCUCUCUCUCUUUCUUUCCAAACCCCUCCGAAACCCAAAAGAUAAAAUUACUGGAUCUAAAAAUAAAGCCGUGGUUUAAAGCCUCCCCCACCCUC